UUACAUGCAAAUUUACUAAGAGGAUAAGCUCACACUUCCAAGCUUUCAUGGCUCUAAUCUUGGAACCCAUCGGCUAUCAUCUGAUGUCGAUUUAGCCUCUGGGGGCAACAGCCAGUGUUUCGGGGUUCCUCUUAGGUAAUGCAAUCUCUCAACCCAUUAGCUAUCAUAUGACAAUGAUUUUAACGCAGUUACACUUUUAAAAAAGCUAUUAGAAAACAAAUCUUCAGGGUUCAGUUAGUGCUUAGUCAGUGUGUUGACAAGUGAUGGCCACUCAGUCUAUACUGAAUGUAAGCUAGGACAGAACCACAUAGCCAGAGACAGAGAGAGACAAAGUACAAGUACCACAAAGUAAAAACCUCCAAACACCUCAAAGUUACGGUGUUUAAGUUUAGCACUUUUGGUUACUGGUGGUUAUUGCAAAUGUGUUUUAAUGAUCAGUUACAGGUCCCAGAGUACUGUCAAGUCCAGACUGCAUAAAUGGUUCCUGUGAGUCUCUCGUGCAAAGGGUCACAAGCUCUGAUUUCGUUUUGCCCAUCCAUUCAGUCCCGCAAGGUGAGAACCAGCCGAGAAGAGCACCAGCCGCCAGUCUCUGGCAGCAGCAGGUAACCGGUCACACAGCAGCUGAUAGUUAAUGAGACAGCUAGCCAACUGCCAGUUAGCAGCCACCUGGCCAGCCAGCAGCUGGUGACCAGCCCCUGAACCAGCCAGACACCAUUAGGCAGCUACCAAUCUGUCACCCAGGGAGCCAACAGGGAGCCAGCAAUACUACAGAAGGUUCACAAGGACAACCUGACUAAGACUGAGAUGGGAAAAAAUAAGUCACUACAGCAGUCAGGUGCCCAGAUUCAGUUGAAAGCCAAGGACAGGGAAAAGGGUUUACAUGAUCUUCAUCCUGACCUCUGAUAUGUUGAAGGAGCGGGGCAACAUGCACAAAUAAAGAAUGUUGCCACUUAAA